rnacentral:rRNA from 1 species
UACGGAGGGUGCAAGCGUUAUCCGGAUUUACUGGGUUUAAAGGGUGUGUAGGCGGGUCUUUAAGUCAGUGGUGAAAUCUCCGAGCUUAACUUGGAAACUGCCAUUGAUACUAUUGAUCUUGAAUUCUGUUGAGGUGGGCGGGAUAUGUCAUGUAGCGGUGAAAUGCAUAGAUAUGACAUAGAACACCAAUUGCGAAGGCAGCUCACUAAGCAGAUGUUGACGCUGAGGCACGAAAGCGUGGGGAUCAAACAGG